CACUCCUGCGGGAGGCAGCAGUGGGGAAUAUUGCACAAUGGGCGCAAGCCUGAUGCAGCGACGCCGCGUGGGGGAUGAAGGCCUUCGGGUUGUAAACUCCUUUCGCUAGGGACGAAGCUUUUUUGUGACGGUACCUAGAUAAGAAGCACCGGCUAACUACGUGCCAGCAGCCGCGGUAAUACGUAGGGUGCGAGCGUUGUCCGGAAUUACUGGGCGUAAAGGGCUCGUAGGUGGUUUGUCGCGUCGUCUGUGAAAUUCUGGGGCUUAACUCCGGGCGUGCAGGCGAUACGGGCAUAACUUGAGUGCUGUAGGGGUAACUGGAAUUCCUGGUGUAGCGGUGAAAUGCGCAGAUAUCAGGAGGAACACCGAUGGCGAAGGCAGGUUACUGGGCAGUUACUGACGCUGAGGAGCGAAAGCAUGGGUAGCGAACAGGAUUAGAUACCCCAGUAGUCCCAUGAU
rnacentral:rRNA from 1 species